AUUUUGUUUUGGCCAAAAUUUUUAUGCUGGAUCUUUAUGCUUGCCAUAUUUAAUGUCUUGUUUGACCUUAGAUUGAAUGAGUAGGAGAGGAGGAAAAUAUUUCUAUUUUAUUUUUUCAGUGUUAGAUGUGAUGCAUUGCUAAUACCUGUAAUGUUCUGUUAAUUGGUUUAGAUUUUAUAUAAAAGCCGAUGUGACAGUCGACUAAAUGAGGUAACAGAAAGGGUGGCAGCCGAUAAACGUGAGGUAUCUCCAUUCCUUGUGCAUAUUAGCUUAUAUUUUCCAUUUUAAAGUUUGCCGUGUAGGACAUAAACUUGAGCAACAUGAAUGUCAGGUUGAGGCAUUCGCCAAGAAAUACGAGGAGAAAUACAAGCAGUCUGGGGAUGUAGCCUCUAAGUUAUCUAUUGAAGAGGCCACAUUUCGCGAUAUUCAGGAGAAGAAAAUGGAAUUGUAUCGGGCGAUCGUUAAAAUGGAACAAGGAGGCACUGCUGAUGAUGCUUUCAAGGUACAUUCUAAUGUAGUUGAUUUGUGGAGAAAAUACGUAACUUGUUUUUAAGUCCUAUUUUCCUGGCUUGCACAGGAGCGAGCUGAGAAUAUCCAGUCAAGUCUUGAGGAACUAGUAAAAAGUGUGAAUGAACGCUGUAAACAAUAUGGAUUGCGUGCUAAGCCAGUCUCACUGGUUGAGCUUCCCUUUGGUAUCUCCAUGACCUUAUUAGUCUUCAUCUAGAAAAAUACUAAUGUAUAUGUGUUAUUUUAUUGAAUUAUUUUACUUUGUUAGUUUCUCUAUGAAGAAAAGGUUUCCUUUGUAAGAAUUUGGACAAACUUUAUCAUUUUGUGUCGCUCUUUGCAAAAUGUGCCAUUUGGUAUUUCUAGUGAAAGUGUGAAUCACAAUGUUGCCCUCAUCUUUGUAUCACUUCAUCACACUUUUAACAGAAAAAAUAUCUUCAAACUGUUGUAAACUACUUCUCUAAAAUUGGUUUCAUGUCUUUGCUCACUUUCAUAAUGCAUCGAUCAUGUAUGGAAAGACAUAAGAAAUUGAAGUAUCUUUGAUCUUUCUCUUGACUUGAUCAUAAAUUUAAUAGAGAAAUUGUGGUAAACUAUUGAUUCAUCUGGUGUCUAGAUAUAUAAUUCAUAAGUGUCUUGCAAAGGUCCAAGCCAUUAUCUUAAUGCAAUAAUUCUUGUAAGAAGGUUUCUGUAUUUUUGCAAUUCUGGUAAUUCCACCUAGAACAUGAUAUGCUGCUCUUACAUCACAUCCUUGUAUUAUGCUCAAGGCUCCAAGCCAAGUAGAAGGAGAGACUUUUAACUUAUUGUGAGCCCAAAUGAUGGAUUCAAUGGAUUAUAUUGAAAGCCUCUGCAAAAUGAGUACCUAGGUGAAGAGGGUCAUUUUUCUUUAGAUGGAAUGUCAAAAAGUCCUUUGGUGAUGAUGUAGAAUGGUACAUUCUGAUAUAAUUUAGGAAAGAAUCAUUUCUGAUUAUUUGUUGUUAGCGUGAUAUUUUGCUGCUUCUUCGAGGAGUGAUUCGAAGCAUGUGAUUGUGGCCUUGAGAAUGAACAUCAGUUGUUUUGUCUAUAAAGAAACAAGAAGUGGAAGUAAUAUUUGUUAUUAGGUGAUUUUGUUGUUGAUGAUACCAGAAUAUUGGUCAGAAUCUGUUGCUAGAUUUUAUCUGGCUGUUUUUUGGUGUUAAUUUUCCUUUCAUGAUAAACAACCCAUCUAAUGAAGAAAUAGAUUCUAAUGGCUGUUGUAUAGCUUUCCUCUGAGCACUUGAAAAGCUGUACGCAAUUCAUUUUUUUUUUUUUUUUUUU
rnacentral:misc_RNA from 1 species